GAGAGAAACUGCACUGCCAAAAGGCCUUGCCAAAUCCCACAGGAGCUCAGUGGUGGCAGCAGCCGAGGAGAGUCACAGUGGGAAAUGGCACAAAGGUUGGCACCUCAGCAAGAACAGCAGAGGUGGAGAAGCAGUUAACCCUGGAGAAGCUGCUUUUAACCCUCCUCCUUUCCUUUCAGCUGUUGGAAGAAUGCUUAGGUGAUCUCCAACACUGCAGUGGACAGCAGCACCAUCGGGAGCGCUCCAUGGAACCCAAAAUGUGCUAGGGAUGCUUCCUCAAUGCUGUGAUGCAAACAUCAGACCCUGAUCUCAUUCAGGCCCUUAGACUAAUGAGCCUCCAGACUCAUAUACCAAAUAAAGUUUUGUGGAUUUUGAAUGACCUAAUCUUAAGGCAGGGGUUGCAAACUUAGACACAUAAGGAGCCGGGCAAGACGGUGCUGAUAGAUGAGGGCAUGAUGUUCUCUGCCCUCUGGUUCUCCCUCUUAAAGGAAACAAUGACUGAUAUGUGACAAUCUGCCAACAACCCUCAGCCUGCAGUGUUUAGAAUGGCUCUUGAAAUCCCUUGAGGACCAAGAACUUCUCUCUGUCUGCUCCAAAAUUUCAAGGAAAUAUGACAUUUUCUUUUAAGG
rnacentral:lncRNA from 1 species